rnacentral:rRNA from 1 species
UUUGCCGGCCACUAGCUCUCUGCAACUCUCACAUGGUAGUCUACUAAAGCUAAGCAGGGCUGCGCCUAGUCAGAACCUGGAUGGGAGACCAAAUGGGAAAGCUAGGUUGCUAACGGAA